rnacentral:rRNA from 1 species
CCUACGGGAUGCAGCAGUGGGGAAUAUUGGGCAAUGGGCGCAAGCCUGACCCAGCAACGCCGCGUGAAGGAAGAAGGCUUUCGGGUUGUAACCUUCUUUUGUCAGGGACGAAGCAAGUGACGGUACCUGACGAAUAAGCCACGGCUAACUACGUGCCAGCAGCCGCGGUAAUACGGAGGUGGCAAGCGUUAUCCGGACUGAUUGGGCGUAAAGGGUGCGUAGGCGGGCUGCUAAGUCUGGAGUGAAAGGUACCGGCUCAACCGGUACAGGCUCUGGAAACUGGCGGGCUAGAGGGCAGGGGAGGGCGGUGGAACUGCAUGUGUAGCGGUAAAAUGCGUAGAUAUAUGGAAGAACACCAGUGGCGAAGGCGGCCGCCUGGCCUGUUAACUGACGCUGAGGCACGAAAGCGUGGGGAGCAAAUAGGAUUAGAUACCCCGGUAGUC